CUCCACGGUUUUAUACAUCAUGGUUAUAUUGCUUAAUGGUACGUAGGUUUCGUUGAAGCUGGCAUGGCUGUGUGUGUGUGUGUGUGUGUGUGUGUGUGUGUGUGUGUGUGUGUGUGUGUGUGUGUGUGUGUGUGUGUGUGUGUGUGUGUGUGUGUGUGUGU
rnacentral:lncRNA from 1 species